UACGGAGGGAGCUAGCGUUGUUCGGAAUUACUGGGCGUAAAGCGCCCGUAGGCGGCUAUUCAAGUCGGGGGUGAAAGCCCGGGGCUCAACCCCGGAAUUGCCCUCGAAACUAGAUAGCUAGAAUCUUGGAGAGGCGAGUGGAAUUCCGAGUGUAGAGGUGAAAUUCGUAGAUAUUCGGAAGAACACCAGUGGCGAAGGCGACUCGCUAGACAAGUAUUGACGCUGAGGUGCGAAAGCGUGGGGAGCAAACAGG
rnacentral:rRNA from 1 species